AGAGUUUGAUCCUGGCUCAGAACGAACGCUGGCGGCAGGCCUAACACAUGCAAGUCGGACGAGAAGGUACCUUCGGGUACUGGAGAGUGGCGCACGGGUGAGUAACGCGUGGGGACCUACCUCUUAGUGGGGGAUAACGGUUGGAAACGACCGCUAAUACCGCAUACGCCCUUCGGGGGAAAGAUUUAUCGCUAAGAGAUGGACCCGCGUUGGAUUAGAUAGUUGGUGAGGUAAUGGCUCACCAAGUCGGCGAUCCAUAGCUGGUUUGAGAGGAUGAUCAGCCACACUGGGACUGAGACACGGCCCAGACUCUUACGGGAGGCAGCAGUGGGGAAUAUUGGACAAUGGGGGCAACCCUGAUCCAGCCAUGCCGCGUGAGUGAAGAAGGCCUUCGGGUUGUAAAGCUCUUUCAGAUGCGAAGAUGAUGACGGUAAUAUCAGAAGAAGCCCCGGCUAAUUUCGUGCCAGCAGCCGCGGUAAUACGAAAGGGGCUAGCGUUGUUCGGAUUUACUGGGCGUAAAGGGCACGCAGGCGGUCUUGCCAGUCAGGGGUGAAAGCCCGGGGCUCAACCCCGGAACUGCCUCUGAUACUGCAAGACUAGAGACUAGGAGAGGGUGGUGGAAUUCCCAGUGUAGAGGUGAAAUUCGUAGAUAUUGGGAGGAACACCAGAGGCGAAGGCGGCCACCUGGACUAGAUCUGACGCUCAGGUGCGAAAGCGUGGGGAGCAAACAGGAUUAGAUACCCUGGUAGUCCACGCCGUAAACGAUGAGUGCUAGUUGUCGGGACUUCGGUUUCGGUGACGCAGCUAACGCAUUAAGCACUCCGCCUGGGGAGUACGGUCGCAAGAUUAAAACUCAAAUGAAUUGACGG
rnacentral:rRNA from 1 species